GAUGGACGUGUAACCUAAAUUGACCUAAUCAAAGUGAAAGGCAGAAAUUUUAUCCAAAGAUGAAAGAGAUUUUCUGUCUCUGCCACUGAACCUAAAGUAGGUCUGCCAUCUUAGAACCUUGAGAGAAGCUAGCCUGAGGACAAAGUCAAUGUGAGGUAGAACCAAAGAUGCAGAGGACCUUGCUGUAACUUCCUGGCGGAGCCCUAAUUUAACUUGCAGUUCUGUGAGAUCACAGAUUUCUUUAUCGUUUCAGCCACUUUGAAUUCAGGCAUUUUUUUUUCUCUUGCAGCCGUAAGUAUUGUGUUUAUUAAAAUACAUAUAAUCAUUUUCUAACUGUUCAAGGUUAAAUCUGAAUUCUCCAAGCAAGUUGUAUUCCUAUUGCCUUGCCUCUAGUAUGGUGGCUUUAACACUUAAUUGUCUGAUGUUGUGAAUAAGAACAAACACGUGAAUGAAUGAUCACACAUUGAAAGAACAGGCAGACCAUAUCAUUUUCAUUACUCUUAUCAAAUACAAUUUAUACAGAGUCGUUAGGAGGCCCCAACAGUAGUUAAUCCACUAAUGCAAACAAUGAAUUGGCAUGGUAACCUUAGUUUUAACACUAUUUUUUGCUGUAACUAAGUGAAAUUCUUUCCAGCUAGCUUAAGCAAAAACGGAGGUCUAUUAUAAGACUAUUGGAGUGGGUCACAUACCAUGGAUUUUACUCCAACUCCAGCCAACAAUUACGUGUGCCAUUGAUGACGGCAGUGUAUCUGGAUCAAAGAAAAUUGAAAUUGAUUACCAAUUAUGAAAAAAACAACCCAUUAAUCCAUAGGGCUCCCUGUGAAUAGGAAGACCAAAAAGAAAAGAUAUCUCCCAAUCUGCUUUUGGGUUUUUUAUUCACUCAAGAGCAAAACACCAUUCUGUGCUAUGUGCUAGGAGACAUCUAUGAAUUUUAUAAAUGGGACAGGCCUGUCAAUCAUCUGGCAUUUAGGACACUGUUUGCUAGCACAGAAGAGGCCUGCAAUGAGUCACAGAUACUGCCAGAAUAUAGCUGUAAGGAGUCAGUUACCAAACGGAGGCCUGGCACUGCCACUGCAUCUCUCCAGCUCUAUGCAGGGCCCAGUGGUGUGUUGAGAGACCCUCAUAAUUUUUAUUCCCCUCCCAACUUAAAAAUCUGAGCUUAAUUUUUGGAAACUGCCUCAGGCACUGGAGGGUAGUAGGAAAUCCCUUCUCAUUGUGUUGUACCAAAUCUGCAAUAUGGUAUUGCCCUGAAGGUAAAAUGUUACUGAAAUGUAAGGAAGUUUCCCUUCAUGGAUUACUUCAAAAAUACAGAUUUUAAAAUUCACUGGCUCAGAGUUUCUGGGGCCUAGAGUGAAACCAUUGUGAUUCUUGAAACUUCAGUUUGCCAGACCCAGUUUCUCAAUUUCACCAUUUGUAAAAUGAUCCUAUCUAACUCAAACCUAAAAGCUCUCAGUUCUGAAGCCAAAAUGCUGUAAAAUUUAAAGUUUAACAACUUAGACAAAACAACAAGCGAGAUUCCUAAACACGACACACAAAAAUCCCUAACGAUACCAGGGAAACAGUAAAUUGAGCUAUAUUAAAAUUAUAAGUAUUCAUUAAAAGACAACAUUAAGAGGGUGAAAAGUCAUCCCGCAAAGCGGGUGAAAAUAUUCACUAUAUGUAUAUAUCCAAGCAGAGACAGGUAUUCAGAAUAAGAGUUUUUACAGGUUAACAAAAAAAAAGUCAGAUAGCUGAAGCCCUCACACACUGCUGGUGGAAAUAUAAAUUAGCACAACCACUCUGAAAAAUUGGCAGGAUCUACUAAAAAUUGGCAGUCACUCUACUAUACCUGGAGUGACUCUACUCCUAGGUAUAUACCCAAUAGAAAUGUGUCUUAAAAAAAAAAUACGGAAAAGAAAAUCUGGAUGCUGGUUGCAUGGGAUGUGUUCAUUUUGGGAAAAGUUCAUUGGGUUAUAUUCUUAGGGUUUGCAUAGUUUUCUUUAUAUAAUAUGCUUCAAUAAAAAGUUUUUUUUUUUUUUAAAGAAACAGCUUCACAGAACAUAAUAAUUUACAUUUAUGGUUCAGCAAAAUUACAAAUAUUUACUUGUAUUAUAUUACUUAUGCUUGAAAUUUAGGUCUCUCAUGAGUUUAAAUCAUACAUAAUGAAUUGAAAAUAUUUAACAUACCAAUGUUUAACAUAAAAUGAUUCUUAAGAUUGAAGGCUUUAAUGAUAGAAUGCCUGGAAUUGAAACCUAUCUCUACCACUUGCUGUGUGACACUGGGUAAAUGAUGCAAUCCUUCUAUGCCUCUGUUUCCUCAUCUGUAAAUGGAAAUACUAAUGGCAUCUACCUUAGAGGGCUGCUGUCAGCAUUCAAUAAGCUAACAUAUGUAGAAGGCUUAGUACCGUUACUGACACACAGAAAGCACUCAGUAAAUGUUUGCCAGUUUUAUUAACAUUAAUGAUUGUUUAACACAUACUUAAAGAUUCUUUACUCUGUUCAAGGCAUAGAGCUGGUUGCCACAGCAAUGAGAGAACCGAAUAAAAUGAUUUAAUCCUUUGUGUUUAAAACCCUGGAGAGCCCAGGGCAAUGACCCACAUAUACUAUACAGUGGAUAAAUAUUUGUUACUGCUGUUCCUGAGAUAGCAGCAUUUAAAUUACAUCUCUAGACUGGCAGGUGGAAAGCCUUAAAUCCAUAUUCAACUUGAAGGUUUUAUUUGAGCACUAGAAAGAGAUUUAACAGUAAUGGUCCAUGAGUCUGGAGAUGGAAAACUGGGAAGUCAAUGAAAAAUAAGUUUAAGUAAUGUGAGUGUUCAGUCCCUAGAGCUAGUGUGAUGUUCCUGUAGCCUACAUGAACAGAGCUAAUGAAAUAAAGAGCCAUGGUAAAAA